rnacentral:lncRNA from 12 species
GUCCCUUUUUCCNNNNNNNNNNUUAUGCACUAAAUGAGGCCUUCCUUUCCAACACUGAAGGCCUGCCUCAGUUUGCCAGAUCGGCAGCCAGAUCAGCAGUCAGCUCAGGCAGCGAGCUCCUUCGGAGGCAGCUUCCCUCUUGCCCCCCCCCCCCCCCCCCGGACAGAAGUGGUGGCCCCUCUCGGAAUUCCUCGAGUCCUUUGAGUCCUUUGUCUCCGGCAUGCUUGGGAUACUCAUCACAGGCUGCCUUUGUAUUUUGAUCAUUCAGACACUAUUUCCCCUGAAGGACUGUAAACUCCUGGAGGGCAGAAGCUUCUGGGAUCUCCGCACAGUGGGCUGGCUCCCUUCUCCCAGUCCCCAUGACUCACAGUACCUUUCCGAGGACCAUGUCAUCUUCACCUCACAUUAGAGUCAUCUACAGAUUUGUCUCAGCGUUCCCUAAGUGCUCGAAGGCAGGGGCCAGGUCUUACUCAACCUCACACCCCUCCACCACCUGGCACAGAGCAGCCAGUUAAAUAUUUGCUCAAUUACACAUCUGUGUACCCUCCCCCUGCACCCAGCAGCCUUGAAUAUAAAUUGACUAAUAUUAUUAAUCCAGCGAUUGUCUAAACAGGCCUUAAAGCAGCCUCCCUCCUACCAAAAGGGGAAUAAACCACCAGGUGGUUAUCAGGCAGGUCUCAGUGGAGUCAGAAAUGGCCAGUGUUGCAGGAAGCAGCUAAGGCUCUCUUCCCCUUCAACAGUUACUCAACAGUUACUUUGAGGUCCUCUUAAACCCAGAAAAGGAUGCAGUGAACCAGGAGUUGUUGCGCCUCCCCACUGCCCAGCGGGGAGAGCCGCCGGGCUCCACGACCUACCAGGACCUGGGACUUCCCGGGAACCAUUUCUCCCCACACCGGCUGGGUGGGGCCACAGACUGGGGCACGGACCUCACCCAGCCCCCACCUCCAGGCAGCCGCCAACCUGGUCCUUUCUCCCCACUCUAUAAAAAAAAAAAAAGACUACAUUUAUUUGUUCAUGAGAGACACAGAGAGAGGCAGAGACACAGGCAAAGGGAGAAGCAGGCUCCCUACAGGGAACCUGAUGUGGGACUUGAUCCCAGGACCCCGGGAUCAUGCCCUGAAUCGAAGGCAGACGCUCAACCACUAAGCCACCCAGGUGCCCCGAUAUGUGACAUAUCUCAAUCAUGCUGUUGUUUUGUUGUUUUUAAUGAAUGAAUCUCACAGACAUACUGUUGAGUAAGAGUUUAGAUAAGAAAAUAAAAGCUAGGGGAUCCCUGGGUGGCUCCGCGAU